GACGAACCGUGCGAACGUUGUUCGGAUUCACUGGGCUUAAAGGGCGCGUAGGCGGGCUGUCAAGUCUGGGGUGAAAUCCCACGGCUCAACCGUGGAACUGCCUUAGAUACUGACGGCCUCGAGGGAGAUAGGGGCGAGCGGAACUGUGAGUGGAGCGGUGAAAUGCGUAGAGAUUGGAAAGAACACCGAUGGCGAAGGCACUUUACUGGGCUAUUACUAACACUCAGAGGCGAAAGCUAGGGUAGCAAAUGGG
rnacentral:rRNA from 1 species